AUGAGAAUGCAGUGGUCACCGCUGCUUUGUCACUGUGUGGUCACCGCUGCGUUGUCACUGUGUGGUCACCGCUGCGUUGUCACUGUGUGGUCACCGCUGCGUUGUCACUGUGUGGUCACCGCUGCUUUGUCACUGUGUGGUCACCGCUGCGUUGUCACUGUGUGGUCACCGCUGCGUUGUCACUACGUGGUCACCGCUGCUUUGUCACUACGUGGUCACCGCUGCUUUGUCACUACGUGGUCAUCGCUGCUUUGUCACUACGUGGUCAUCGCUGCUUUGUCACUGUGUGAGCGAAACCAAGUGCCCGAGAAGAGGGCCAAGCUGGGGGAGCACGGCGGGGAUACGCAGCCAGGACGAUGCAGGACGGUGAUGUCACGCGUGUCCCUGAUCAGUCUGCUCUACACCGGACUUCUCACUCCACUUUGGCUUGGGACCUUCUGGGUUGGGUUCUCCGUCAUCCGGAGCCGCGGGACUCCUGACUCACCUGCGAUUCUCCGUCUCUAGCAUUUCUGAGUCGGGGAUUGAAUUCUCUCUCUCGUGGAUGGCUCUGCAGCCCCCCUGCUGACCUCUCCUGCUGGAAAGUUUCCGGCAAGUUCCGUCCUCCACACAGUUCUUAGAAUGACCUGCCUCACGCACAAAUCUGAGCAUGUCAUGACCCUGCUUAAAACAUUAUCCGGUUACAGAAUAAAGAUCAGUAUCUCUAACCUUGUGUGUGAAGUUCUGCAAGGUAGAGCCCCCACCUAGCUCUAGGACCUACUUUAUCUCCAUUUUCUCCCUCUUAGUACUUGUCUACGAAUGGCGCUGCACAGCUUACAGUUCCCUCACAGACACACUGUGGUGUUUUCCAAUGCCUUCACUUUACUCCAGUUCUUCCUUUGCCUAGAAUACCCCUUUUAACUUGGCUUAUUCAUUCCUUUCUUAAGAAUCAAACUGCACUUAGGAAACUCUCCUGACUCUCCUCCCGCACUCCACAAAACCAGUUAGGUGCUGCUCAGCUGUGCUUGUAGAGACCAGUCACUCCUUUUACCGUUGUGCUUACCGGGUAGCUCGAAAGAGUUGUUCCCUCUAAUCAGCCCGCUCCCCUCCAGCCAUCCAACCACCUGUACUUGUGACUGUACAUUAUUUUUCUUUGCAUCUCUAGAACCCCAAUACAUUCUUAAUAAAAAAUACCCAAUAAAUGUGUGUUGAACAAGGUAUAAACAGAAAAGUACCACCUUGCUAUUUGGCUCUUAUGUUAAAGGACUUUGUAGUUGAGCAAAGACCGUGGAAAUACAUUUUCAAAGAAAUCAAUAUUAAAGAGAGUAGAUAUUUCAGUAAAUAAAAUGUAGGAUCGAAAUAAACUCUCUCAGGUCCAGAAGUGAAAAACAUCACCGCUGACUUUCUUUCAACCACUUCAGAAACCGUGGUAUUAAAUUCUUCAGAAGAGAGUUGGGUACGCUGGCCAAUUUGACAGAGGUUGAAUUUGUACAUCAACUUAAAAACUAAGUCUACCCUAAUCUUCCACUGCAGAUGAAUAUAUCUUACUAUUCGUCAAUUAAAGUCAAAAUGACACUUCUGUUUUCAAUUGAGCGCAUGUAUUGCAUUAAAUUUUCCUAACACCAUUAUAGCUUACGCACAGCCUAAUGACUACAGUAUAUUCCAAUUUUACAAGAACAGGAAGUACAGAGCCUAUUCUAAAUUAUAUUUGAGAUGAAUCCCUUUCCAUAUGGCCAUAGGAACUGUGUCUUUUGUCCCUUUGCGGUUUUCCUUUCCCAUUUGGGAUUUUCUUCUCUCUUCUCUUUCCUCAUUUCAUUCACGGCACAAGCCAGUGGCUUCCUGGCUUCCAGGUUCUCCAACUCCCAGCCCCAAAUACUCAAUGCUCAUUCUUCAUCUCAGUGCUGUUUCGCUACAUUGUAGAUCAGUGUCUGUGUCAAAAUUUGCAGGAUUUCUGGGUAAGGUGAAAGAGAAGAAACUCUGCGGUGGUUGUUCCCAUGAACCUAUCCUUUGUCCAGUGUUAAAACAACCCAACUCUAGUACUGGAUUGACUGGGAGCACCCUCAGCUGAGUUGUGUAGAGUGGGGAAUUGAGAUCCUUCUCCCAUUAUGUCAGUUUUCAUUAAGGUCAUUUUUCUAACCCUGGAUAUACUAUGCACCAAGUUAGCCUAAAGAAAAAGCCUUAUCAGCUCUCCACUCAUAAUUUUAAAUCUUUUUUGACAAAACUGUUAUGUGUGUGUUGAUUCACAGGAGCAGAAUUGCCUAAGUUUUCAAAUGGAAGUUAAAUGUGAUGUGAGGGACCGUGUGAUUAUGUGGCUUUCCAGCAGAAAUUUAACUACAGAAAACAAAAUUAUAUAGGCAUAUAUGUAAAGGAAAAAGGUUGAAAAUGUUGCAAAUACCGUAUGCCUACGAUUCAAAAAGAAACCAUCAUUGAGUAAUGCCUACCGAAGAGAUUCAUGAUUCAUUUUUUAUAGUGAACCAUGUAUUAUUACAAAGCAUAUCUCCCACAAUGUAUACCUUUUUCCUAAACUAACAAAAUAUAAUACAGUGCCUCAAAUAAUAUUCAUUUAUCAGAACCACUUGAUAAAUAUCUCUAUUAUUUUGUGAAAAACUAUAGAGGAAAAUUUCCCUGUAUA
ensembl:lincRNA